rnacentral:rRNA from 1 species
GAUGAACGCUGGCGGCGUGCCUAACACAUGCAAGUCGAACGAAGCACCUUUUAAGAUUCUUCGGAUGAUUGAUUGGUGACUGAGUGGCGGACGGGUGAGUAACGCGUGGGUAACCUGCCCUGUACAGGGGGAUAACAGUUGGAAACGGCUGCUAAUACCGCAUAAGCGCAUGAGAGGACAUCCUCUUGUGUGAAAAACUCCGGUGGUACAGGAUGGGCCCGCGUCUGAUUAGCUGGUUGGAAGGGUAACGGCCUACCAAGGCGACGAUCAGUAGCCGGUCUGAGAGGAUGAACGGCCACAUUGGAACUGAGACACGGUCCAAACUCCUACGGGAGGCAGCAGUGGGGAAUAUUGCACAAUGGGGGAAACCCUGAUGCAGCAACGCCGCGUGAGUGAAGAAGUAUUUCGGUAUGUAAAGCUCUAUCAGCAGGGAAGAUAAUGACGGUACCUGACUAAGAAGCUCCGGCUAAAUACGUGCCAGCCGCCGCCGUAA